UCUUGUUAAUGGCCUACAAAGCCUCAGUAUGACGGCGGUCUUUAAUUAAUAAAAAGGCAUGGGAUGUUGAAAGCAGUGAUUGAAAGUAUGAGCGACGGCAGACACUACCAACCAAAUGACCGAGCCUGGCUAGUGAGAGAGCUAUAUUAACUUAUAGUUCCUAAAGCCAGACACACCUUAAUUCCUGCCUGGAGCUGUCCCUCUACAAUGUGUUUUGUCACGGUUCAUAAUGAGUGGCCGAAACAUAUCUGUAUAAUUUGGCGCAACAUAUUACAUUAUGCGGUGUUUAAUAAUACAGAAAAUAGUUUUCAUAUUCAGUUUCUAGCUACUUCAAUGAGUUAACAUUACGUCUUUAACAUCCGUUUUUUUUCAAAUUCAGUCUGCUUGGUUCAUGUCAUCAUACACCGACGGUGUGGGGCGUCCUUUGUGGUAUCAAUCACUGGUUUGAGUGGUCGAGAGAGGAUGAUUUACAGGCCUCCGUUAUAUAGUUUAACUUUUGUUGUGCGUGUCGCUAAAACACACUAAACAAGAACACACAGUUGUACGUGAAAUUGUUCGAAGCGGCAUGACAAUCAUCACUUGUAGGAACGAUAACUCGUGUACGUGUUAUGACGCGUUGAGUGCAGCACUGUGACAGAGACGAACCCACAACAUGGGAGGUUGGAUCGAUCGCAAACGGAUGCCUCUAUAGGGAUCGGUUAAGGGGCUAUAUGGAAACAAAGGCGUCUCAUCCUGUAAAAGGGCAGUUUUUUCCAGUGAAAUAUCUUCGCUAAAUCAGUUUCCCCACUGCCCGGUUCCUGUGUGGAUGUCCGACUGUGAAGGAGGAAAACAGACGACGUGACCCCGGCUGAUCAAGACUGACACAACUGAAGCAUAUUAUGGAGCACAGACUAGGUAAAAAGACCCAACCAUUUGACCUUACAAUCAACAAUUUCAUGAAAUGGACUAAAUCGAUAAAAAAGAGUCGAAAAUCGGACGAUCAUGAGACUUUUACGGUCAAGUCAAAGCUUGCCCUGUCUGCCUUUGUAAACAGCUUGAUCAAGUCCCACAAAACAGAGCUCGUUCGUGCCAACGGAGUAACUUGCACCAACUACACACACAAUUCCUUGUAUAUUGCGUUAAGACUUUGCUAUGAGCUAGAUUUGAGAUCUCAAAAGGUCGUGAGUGAGCUUAUUCGAGAAAUUUUUCUGUGCGAAGGAAAUCUUCAUGCUAUUUUUAGCAUCAUCAACGAAAGUCACGUGACCAUGGGAUUCCCAAGAAGUGGGUCGCUGAAUAUCCACUCUUUCACGUUGUACCCGAGAGCAACUUCUAACAACUUCAGUGACAUUGUCAUUCCAGCCUUGACAUAUUAUGUUCAAAAUAGUGUUAAUCUCGAGAAAGAUAUACGGGAAAAUAAUUUAUCGCAGUACAACUACAAAAGCAAGAUCUUUCCUAACCCAACCUAUGGGUGAAGAUCAAACUUUGUCACCCUUAAUGGCUGCUACGAUGAGGAAAGAGCCUGAACUGGUCUUGAUGUUGCUAAGGUACGGUGCGGAUCCAACAGUUGCUAUGGACCCUGACAGCGUUUCCCUUACAGUCAAUCCAAUUCAGUAUAUUGUCACAUGCCUCAACAGUUUCACAUCAAUACGAUCUUCUUCCUGGUUGGAUAAGUACCAUUACUCUGACAGUCUCAUGGCUGAUGGUGAGAGAUGCCACAAAAUAUUAGAACUGUUUCAGCGAUCAGUCCAUCACAUCCAUUUACAAGUCUCCUCGGGAGUGUUGGGAGAUAAUGACAAUGAUCUCACUUACUACCUGCAUCCGAAACUGACAGCUUUGGCACAGAAUAGUGCCACGCCUACCCUACAACACUUGUGUCGCUGUGCGGUCCGCAGACAUCUAGCAGCAGCGUCAUGUGAAACAAUUCCAGAUGCAAUCAAAUGUCUUCCUCUUCCACAACUUAUGAAAGAGUUUUUGGAUUUGAAAAGCUAGCUAUUUUUAGACAACUCAAAUGAAAUUUCCAUGAAGACAUACAUACUGUUGACAUAAAGUUAAACACACUGUAUAGAAACUCCAGAGCAAUUCAGUAACUUGAACCAUUUGUCAUUACAUAAUGGAACUGAUGCAUACAAAUAUAUGACCCAUGCAUUUGAUAUAAACAUUUAGAGUUUUAGCCAUCAAAUAAAGAUUUCUCAUUAAUCCGGGUGUAUAGGAUGUCUCAUACAGGAUGUACAUAUAUUCACCUUCAUCUUAUGGCAUAGAAGAAACCUUUUUGAUCGUGCAUUCAUAUGUAACAAAUUUAUCAUAACAAAUUUAAAAGUCAUAAUAUAUUGAAAAAUAGCUUUGUGUCGCAAGUAUGGUAUUCAUCUUAAAGUAUGAUACAUUCAUCGUCAAGUGAGUGAGUGAGUAUACUUUUACGCUGCUUUUAGCAAUAUUCCAGCAAUAUCACGGCGGGGUACACCAGAAAUGGACUUCACACAUUGUACCCAUUUGGAGAAUUGAACCCGGGUCUUCGGUGUGACGAGCAAAUGCUGAACUUGAAGUAUGGCAGCUGAUUCUCAUAUGAUACAGUCAACUAGGACACGUCUAACAAGUAACAGAUAAAUGCACUGUAUGUUCUAUGUUGAUUUCUAUCUAAAUAUUCCAACUUGAGUAGCACUCUUGACAGCCAUACAAUUGUUUUGUUUUGUACAACCUGUACUGUGCCCGAAUGAAUGACAUUCAGUGAAAGUUCAUCCACCCUCUGUAUGCUGACUGUUAUAGUCCUGUGAAUAUGCAUGACACACAGUAGAUUAACAAUACACUCAUACAUAUGUAUGUUCAAACAACAAGUGUUUUCCUUCUGUGUUAUUUGUUAUCAGUUUCCUCAUCCACUGGUUACAUUUGCUACAAUCUUACUUCUUGAAGAUGUUCAGCACACACUCCAUAUAGCACCUGCCAUGUGGAGAUAUCACAUGAAAACUAGUUUUUGAAUGAAACUACAUAAAAUACAUUUGAUAAUUUUUAUGAAUGUUAUUUAUGUACCGGGUAAAUAAUUUAUUCGAAUGAAAGAUGAUAUUUUUGUUUGUAUUUUGUAUAACUUAUAUGAUUUGAUGUUCAAUGUGACAGAGAUAGACACACUUGUAAUAGUAAUACCAAACUAGUCCACAGAUCAUUUUGGAGUAAGUGUUACGGAAUUGACAACUGAUAAAAACAACUAGUCUGACUUGAUAAUCACUAGUCUGGGGUUAAAGGCUAGCAGCUGUGUCUAUUUCUGAUGUUGUUUUCUUUGCUGUUGUUUUUAAUAAUAAAAUUGUAAAUAUAAUAUAUAUUUAUGAAACCAAUUGACAAAUAUGAGCUAUUGCUCAGUAAGAUGUCGCAUAAGUAUGAAAGAACUGAACUCUGGGGUAUUUUUAAAAACCUGAAUCUGCCUUGCCCUCUCUAACUGUUUCUGUUCCUACCUGUAUGUGUUUCUGUCUGAAUGCGUCUGAAUGUCUGUGUUUCCGCUUGUAGAUGUGUCUGAAUGUCUGUUUCUGCCUGUAUGUCUUAAUGUCUGUUUCUGUCUUUAUGUGUCUGAAUGUCUGUUUUUGCUUGUAGAUGUGUCUGAAUGUCUGUUUCUGUCUGAAUGUCUGUUUCUGUCUGAUGUGUCUGAAUGUCUGUUUUUGCUUGUAGAUGUGACUGAAUGUCUGUUUCUGUCUGAAUGUCUAUGUGUCUGAAUGUCUGUUUCUGUCUGAAUGUCUAUGUUUUUGCUGGUAGAUGUGUCUGAAUGUCUGAAUGUCUGUUUCUGUCUGAAUGUCUAUGUUUUUGCUGGUAGAUGUGUCUGAAUGUCUGUUUCUGUCUGAAUGUCUGUUUCUGUCUGAAUGUCUGUUUCUGUCUGAAUGUCUGUUUCUGUCUGAAUGUCUGUUUUUGCUUGUAGAUGUGUCUGAUUGUCUGUUUCUGUCUGAAUCUCUGUUUCUGCUCGUAGAUGUGUCUGAAUGUUUGUGUUUCUGCCUGUAGAUGUGUCUGUAUGUCUGUUUCUGCUUGCAUAUAUGUGUCUGAAUGUCUCUGUUCCUGUCUGAAUGUUUUUGUACAUCUCUGUCCAUGUUCAAGUGAUCCUGACACAGAGGUUCAAGUCAGACUGUCACGUUUCCAGGGUGCCCUUGUACAAAGCUAUCUUAGCGUUAAGGUGACCGUAACUCCCAUACCUUAACAUGGACUUAAGGUAGUCUUAGCGCUAAGGUGGUUUUGUACAACGGCACCCAAGACUGUAGUGGAUGGAGACCACUUGAUUCAUGUAACUGCCAACUUGAUUAUUCACACGAUACUGCCAAUGAAUUUGCUGUGCAAUUGAAUGUUUGAAUAAAGAUUGUUAUCAUGUGA
rnacentral:lncRNA from 1 species